CCCACACUAUGACAGGAUUUAUCUAAUUCCUCCAGCUCCAAGUACUAUGUGCUAGUGUACAGGGAGGUUUCGGCAAACCAGUAAAGUGCCUGAAACUACUAGGGAUUAUUGCUAAAAGCAGCCAAGUCAGCAGGCCUUAAAGUGGCCAUGUAGCAAGCUCAGCUUGACCAAGGCAGGAUGGGACGGAGUUUUGAGUGCCACAGAAAGGGCAGCUUGACCUCACAUCCUUCCUGAUAAAAAGUGUGUUGAAGUUGCUGAUACAUGCAUUUUAGAAGAAAGGAUGUGCCCUCAGAAAUGUGUCUAACAGGGUCUCAAGGCUGCAAACUCGGGAAAAACCACACCUGGUUAAUCAAUAAUCAGAAGAAUACCUCUUGCUUGACCAUUGAAACGCUAGCUUAACAAGUUUUCUUUAAAGGACAUGUCAUUGUUUUACUAAUGUAUAAAAUAAGGGGGAAGAGUUGGAGGUAGGGGACUCUUCAGGACUGGACUGUCCCUCUGGAUGCAUCUAGUGUUCCCCACCAGCAGAUGGGCUGCCGCUGUGCCACUCGAGAGCCACACUCAACUUCGCUGCCUGCUUAUCCUUCCCAUAGG